UACAUCUCGACUAGCUAUUUUUUGUAGUUAGCUCGGUUUUGGAGAGUUGCUGGUCAAUUUGACCAGCUCUUUCUUGAAUUUAUUAGUCAAGGUCUUAACCGCAUGUAUUGGUGUAGCAAAGCUUUCGCCGCAUAUACUGUGGUAUUAUGAGACAGAUUGGCUCUCUAAAGUCCAACUUUUGU
rnacentral:misc_RNA from 1 species